rnacentral:rRNA from 1 species
CGGGUGCGUAACGCGUAUGCAAUCUGCCUUGUACAGAGGGAUAGCCCAGAGAAAUUUGGAUUAAUACCUCAUAGUAUUAUUGAAUGGCAUCAUUUAAUAAUUAAAGUUCCAACGGUACAAGAUGAGCAUGCGUCCUAUUAGCUAGUUGGUGUGGUAACGGCAUACCAAGGCUACGAUAGGUAGGGGUCCUGAGAGGGAGAUCCCCCACACUGGUACUGAGACACGGACCAGACUCCUACGGGAGGCAGCAGUGAGGAAUAUUGGACAAUGGGCGCAAGCCUGAUCCAGCCAUGCCGCGUGCAGGAAGACGCAUCUAUGGUGUGUAAACUGCUUUUGUACGGGAAGAAACACUCCCUCGUGAGGGAGCUUGACGGUACCGUAAGAAUAAGG